AUGGUCCACGGGCAUCUAUAUCUGCUGUUCCCAAUCCCACCAGCAAGGGGCGCGCGAGAUGAAACAGUUCUGUCCUGGGAUGUACCACCGAGGGUAGCGGAAAGACCACCCACUCUGGAAGGUACCAUUGGGAGAGGGCGUGUGACAACAGAGAGGGUCCCCUUACACCGCGUCGGGCAUGGACCACAGUUCCCAGCAGCGGCACUCAUGGCGCCACUAGGUCCAUCCCCACUCGCUCCUCUUCGUCUUCCCACUGCUUUUGAAUCCGAGUGGACACAGUUUGUGGUCAUCUGCAUCUGUAACCUAUUUCUUUCCUGAUAUUGGUAAGUUUUGUCUUUAGUUAUCUUUUUUUUUUUUUAAUUCUUGUGGGUGGAAACUUAUGAAUUCAUAUUGACCUUUUGAAAGAGCCAGCUUUGGGUUUUGUUGCUUAUCUACAUAUUUUUUCUAAUAUCUGUUCUGAUCAUUAUUUCCCUUAUUUUGCUGACAGUCUCACUACCAAAGGGGUUUAAUAAAGUCCCUGAGAGUUUCCCA
rnacentral:lncRNA from 1 species